rnacentral:piRNA from 1 species
UGAGAUUAAAGGAAUUGUGCAUCAUGCCU